UUAGUGGAGUUUUUGAAGUGGAACCAAAGAGCUGCCCUGGUUUUAUCUAUCGAUCUUCCAUCUUGUUGGGGCGCAUAAACAUGCCUUAUUCUGAAUUCAGAGAAUUUAUCGAGAAUGUAGCUUCCGAGUAUCAUGGAGAUACCUACCACCUANNNNNNNNNNNNNNNNNNNNNNNNNNNNNNNNNNNNNNNNNNNNNNNNNNNNNNNNNNNNNNNNNNNNNNNNNNNNNNNNNNNNNNNNNNNNNNNNNNNNNNNNNNNNNNNNNNNNNNNNNNNNNNNNNNNNNNNNNNNNNNNNNNNNNNNNNNNNNNNNNNNNNNNNNNNNNNNNNNNNNNNNNNNNNNNNNNNNNNNNNNNNNNNNNNNNNNNNNNNNNNNNNNNNNNNNNNNNNNNNNNNNNNNNNNNNNNNNNNNNNNNNNNNNNNNNNNNNNNNNNNNNNNNNNNNNNNNNNNNNNNNNNNNNNNNNNNNNNNNNNNNNNNNNNNNNNNNNNNNNNNNNNNNNNNNNNNNNNNNNNNNNNNNNNNNNNNNNNNNNNNNNNNNNNNNNNNNNNNNNNNNNNNNNNNNNNNNNNNNNNNNNNNNNNNNNNNNNNNNNNNNNNNNNNNNNNNNNNNNNNNNNNNNNNNNNNNNNNNNNNNNNNNNNNNNNNNNNNNNNCAUGUUUGUAUAAAGUCGAAUGUGAAUUGAAUGGUAUUAUGUGGUGACCGAAUAGCUAUUAUGAAACAAAGUCAAAGAAUGGGAUAUUUGUAUAAUUGAUGAAUUGUGACUAUUGUUCCUACUUGAUCGAGGUUGUGUGUGAAAUAAUUUGUGAAUAUGGCAUAUAGCCGAAUGGUUAUUAAAAGUGAAACUGGGAUACUGAAAAGAUUAUGUGUUCUUUGUGUAUGAUUAUUGAACCGAAAGUUAAAAGGUAUGUGUACAUUUUGUGCUUAUAUUCGAAUGAAGCAAUUGAAUUACUAAUGUGAUAUGUUAUGUGAAAUGUGUUGUAGCGCCCCUUACCCGAGACCGUCGCCGGAGUCGAGCACAAGGCACUACUAAACUUAUUUGAGCACUUAACAAAUUCAGAUAAUUUAUAUCAUACUUUUCAGACAAGCUGUCCAACUGCGUCAUAGUUGCUAAAAAAAUCAUAUCUCGAGUUAUAAAACUCGAAAUCCAAAUCCGUAAAUUUUCCCCGAAUUUAGACUCAUAUAUCUACUUACCAAUUUUUUAUAUAAUUUUUUGUUGGUCCAAUUAGUACAGUUUAUUAGUUAAAUUCUCCCCUGUUUCAGGGUUUGGCUACUUUGACCCCUGUGCACUACGAACCAAAUUUCUCUCUGUACAGAAUUCGAAUGAUCAUGCCGUUUAUUUUUAUUAAAAAUAGACCCAACGAGGAAUCCAUACAUAUAUAGUAUGACUCAUAAUUAUUUUUGUGAAAUUUUUAAUGAUUUUACAAAUUAGAACAAGGGAACUCGAAGUCAUUCAGACUCUGUCUCACAACAAUUUAAAUAUCUCAUAACAUAAAAUCCAAUUGCAUGCACCGUUUCCUCUAUAUGAAACUAGACUCAUUUAGGCUUUAAUCUCAUUUUUUCCCAGCCUUAAAUCAAUUUCCACAAUUUAUGGUGAAUUUUCAAAGUCAAACUACUGCUACUUACCAAAACUGUUUUAGUACAAAUAUUGUUAACUAGUUCAUAACAUCUUUACUUCAAUUCAUUCAAACUCUAUACAUGCCAUAUAAAUCUUUAAACAUAAAACAAAACUACCAGAAUUGAUCUGAAUAGUGUGCCCUGUUGUGUUGAUCCGAUCUACCCACUUCACUUCAAGUCAAUCUACAUAAAAAUAUUAAACACACACAAGUAAGCUUAUUGAAGCUUAGUAAGCUCAUAGGCAUAUAAACACAAAUCAUAUCAAAUAUCGUACACAAUCAUAUAUCUAUUAGUUUAACUAUUUCAUCCUCCAAAUCACAAUUUCAUUAUAACUCAUUGGAAUAAUUUCCAUGGCUACUCACAUUUAACUCCCUUAGGCCCAUUUCUCAUUUACUUCAUUGUCAAAUUAGGGAACAAUAAGGGAAUUGAGUGCUUCAUUAUCACAUUGCCAUAGUAAACUAUGGACUUUCACAUUGUUACGCAUCACACACCGAAGCCAUAGCCUUGCCAUGGUCUUACACGGUUCACAUAUCAUACCGAAGCCAUAUCCCAGACAUGGUCUAUACGGAAUCACAUUAUCACAUUAUACCGAUGCCAUAGCCCAGCUAUGGUCUUAUACGGAGUCACAUUGCAACCGAUGCCAUAGCCCAGCUAUGGUCUUAAACGGGCACACUUAUCACAUAUUUUUCGUCAAUUCAUCAGGGUCACAGAAUAGAAGCACUCAAAUCCAUUGUUCCUACUAAUUUGUACUUUUAGUUACACAUUAUUCAUUAGUUAAUGCAAAUUGAUAGUAGUCAUCAACAAUAAAAAUACUUUAACAAUCAUAAGAUUUUCAUAUCAAAACAUUGAACUUUUCCAUAUGAACUUACCUGGACUAAUUUGCAAAAGUCGUAGAAAUUCAGGGACUAUUCUUAAAUUUUCUCCUUUCCACAAUUCAGUUCGUUUUCUUGAUCUAUAAUUAUAAAAUCAUUCCUUCAUUAGCAUCCAUUUCAAUUCUAUUUCACUUCACAAUUUAUGCUGGUUCAAAUUUUGAAAUUGCACUUUUUACCCCAAAAUUUACAGUUUUCACAAUUUAGUCCCUGCUCAAUUCACCCAUCAAUUGAACUAAUUUUUUCUCAAUUAACACUUUAUUUUUAUCAUUAUAAACUAUUUCAAAACCUUUUAUAUUCUUAAUUUCAACAGAAACCUUCAAUUCACAACUUUUUCACAAUUAGGUCCUAAUAUCAUUUCCUAUCAAAAUCACUUAAUAAAACCACCUAAUAUGAAAUUAGAACUUAAAAUUUCAUAAUAAUUCAUCAUAAAAUUUCCUUAUCCAUCCAGGGUAACUUCCAAUUUCACCCAUAAAAUCAAAAACUAAUGAAUUCUACAAGUGGACCUAAUUGUAAAAGUCAUAAAACAUAAAAAUUAUCAAUAAAAAGUAAGAAUUAAACUCACAUGAUGUAAAAAUAUGAAAAACCAGCUUUCUCCAGACCUUCUAUGGCGUUUUGGCUGAGAAAAUAUGAAGAAAUGUCUAGAUUUUUCAAUUACAUCAUUAUUUAAACUAUUAACUUUUAUGCUAUUUCCAAUUUGCCCCUUGUUCACAUUGUUUUCUUGCUUAUUUCAUACCCAAACCGUCCAGCCAUUAACCUUUGGGUCUAAUUUUUCUUUAAAUCCAUCUUUUUAAAUACUUAAGCUAUUUACUCACAUUUAACAAAUUUUGCACUAUUUUCAAUUUAGUCCUUUUUAAUUAAUUAGCCAUCCAAACGUUAAAAUUUUCUAACGAACUUUAAUACUAACUUAAUGACACUCCAUAAAUAUUUAUAAAAAUAUUUAUAGCUCGAUUUUCAACUUUGAGGUCUCGAUACCUUCAUUUUUGACCCGUUUGACCUAACAAAUUCUUUUAAUUCACUAAUUCUUCACCAUUUCACAAAUUCUUCUAAAUUCUUAACUUGACUCAUAAAUAUUAAAUUACUAUCUUGUUCAAUCUUAUUUGUCGAAUUUAGUGAUCUCAAAUCACCAUUUCCGACACCACUGAAAAUUAGGCCGUUACAGUGUUAACAUGUGAAAAAAUAUGCAAGAUACUGGAAAUGUAUCCGGGCUAAAGUCCCACAGGAUUCGUGCUGGAAAUGUAUCCGGGCGCAGGCUUCGUGUUGGAAAUGUAUCCGGGCGCAGGCUUCGUGCUGGAAAUGUAUCCGGGCUAAAGUCCCGCAUGCUUCGUGCUGGUAAUAUAAUUUCGGAUUUUAUACCUAGCAGGCCAAGUGGCGAUGAAUUUGAUAAAAGUAUACAAUUACAAGAUCCUACACUAAGAUGACAAAUUGAAAGUGCAUUACAUAUUAAGUUGGCCAGGUAUGUAUCAUGUACUUGUAUGCGAUUUUGAUUUGAAUUAAAUUAUAAAUGUAUAAAGUGAUGCAUCUGUGAAUAAGUGUUAUGACUAUAAAUGUGAUCGUGAUACAUUCGGUAAAUGUGUGAAGUUAUGUGAAGUGAUUCUAUGUUUAUAUUCAAAUAUAAACACUUGGUCCUUGUGGAAAGGUUUGUGGAAGUAUAUGAUUUUAUUUUUAGGUGAUUACGAUCAUGGAAAAUUAAAUGUGAAUAUGAUAUUGUAUUUUAUUCGUUUCAAUUGAACUAAAGUUGAUAGUGAAGCAUUUUAAUGCCUAUGUUAUAUGAGUUCGAUAUUGAAUGACAUGAUAUACAUGUUUAAAUAAUUUGAAUGUAAGGAAUGUGUGAAAGAGCAAAUUUGUAAUAAAUAUGCUUGGGAUAACAACAGUAACGUGAUUUUGUAAAAUCACCAUAAAUUUUGGAAAUUGAAUUAGAAGUUGAAUAAAUUAUGUAAUUAAAGCUUAAUGAGUCUAGUUUCUUAUAAAAGAAACCGUGUAAGCAAAAGAAUUGUAGAUAAUGAGAUAUUUGAAGUGGCGUGACAUAGAAUCAAAAUGACUUUGAAAUCCCCUGUUCUGUUUUUAAAAAAUCAUUGUAAAUUGUACAAUGAUGAUUAUAAGAUAAAAUUUAUAUUCUUAGCUCCUUAAUGAGUCUAGUUUCAAAUGAAAUAAACGAGAAUAUAUUUUGAAUUCUGUACAAUGAGAAAUCUGAUUUAUAGUGAAGAAUGGUCAGAAUAGUCAAACAGUGAAACAGGGGAAAAUUUAAGAAAAAUCUGGUAUUGAUUGGUCAAACCAAAAAAUUUUGAAAAUUUUAGAGAUAUAAGAUAUAUGAGUCUAUCUUCAAGGAAAAUUAACAGCACAUGAUUUGGAGUUUUGUAGCUUCAGUUAUAAAUAAUUUAGUGACUGCUGUUCAGCAAGACAGCUUGUAGUGAUUGUGUGAUUAUGUCGUGAACAUUGAAUAAACUUGGUCAGAUGUAUGUAGUCCAUGUGAAAAUGAGACGUGAUAAAUAACAGAUAAAUAUAUGCUAUAUGUGCUUGACAUGUGACCUUGUGGUUCCAUGAAUCAAACAUGGAAAAAUAUGACAUGUUUUGGUUGGUAUGUAUUGGAUAUGUGCAAGUUUUGUUCAUACGAAUGAAUUGACAGUUAUCACACGAAUUUAAAAUCAUAGUCAUAAGUUAUUUGUAAAUAUAAAUAAGUGAAGCUAUUUAAUAAGGUUAUAUGAACUUAAGAGUACUAUGAAUGUAUAUGCAAUUGAGAUUAUUUUUCAAUUCGGAUUAGUGAUAUGGAAUUUUCAUAAUCAUUGAAAUGAUUUAUUUACUUAAGGCUUACUAAGCUUUCAAAGCUUAUUCUAUGUGUUUUUCCUAUGUCUAUAGGGCUUCAGAGAAAUUGCUUGGGUUGGAAGUCGAGGAGAUUUCAUCACACUAUCGAGUUAUCAUGUGAGUAGAUAAAGUUUGUAUAUCAUUAAGGUUUAAGGCAUGUAUAGAAUAGACUAAUAGUGGAAGGAUAUUUUGGUUAACGUAUUUAAGCCAUGCGAAUAUGGCAUCUUUUGGAUGUUUAAUUUUAUAAGUUAGAAAUUCGAUCACUGGUUGUGUCUAGCAUUUAUAUAAAAAAAUCUUUAUUUCAAGAGAAUGUUCAAAAUUUUACUGUUAAGAUCUGUUUUCUGAUUUUCGGUAACGCCUUGUCCUAUUCCGGCGACGGUUACGGGAUAGGGGUGUUACAGUGUUUGGUUGGAUCUCUGCAAUGUCUCAAAAUUAUUGAACUCCUUUGAGAUUAAUAAUAGACCGCAAAAGUGAAAUGUGAAAGUAAAAGUGUUAUAGUGAUAUAUGCAUUUCAAUGAUACAUGUGAACUAAUUAGUAAAUGAAUUAUGUAAAUUAAGUGUUAAUGUUAUGUUUGUGAUAUAAAAAAAUAUUUUGAUAUGUGAGUGUGAAAGUUGAUUAGUGACUAUAUGUGUUAAAGUAAAAAUUAUAAAUUAUAAAAUUAAUUUAAAUAAUUUUAUGUUUUGAAAAAUAAAUUAAAAGUUUAAGUAUAUUAAUGAAACAAAUUGUGUGAAUAAAUGUUAAUAAAAAAUAAAUUAAAUUGUAAAUAUAUAAAAAUAGUAAGAUUGAAUUCAAUUGAGUACUUACUAAGCUAUUCACAUAAUUUAACAUGUUUGUUUUUAAAACGCGUAGAUAAAAGAUAAAGUUAGAGAUAAAUCGAGGAUUGUAAUGCCAAUUUGGAUCGCAUCAGUCAAUAAGAUCCAAAGACAAGUUUUGGUAUAUAAAUUUUGAAAUUUAGAAUGACAUGUACUUAAGUUUAAUUAUAGUAUUUGUACGUAAGUAAUAGUGAAAAUACUUGAUAAAUUUUUGAAUAUUAUGUUAGCUUAGUGACUUGGUCAAUUUAGUAACUCAGUGACUAAGUACCCCUUUGGAUAGGCGAUGUGGUGCGUUUAGCUUAAUUUUUGUUUCAUGCUACAGUAUCACUACAGUAUCUAAUAUCACUGCCACCGUUAUUUUUACACUAAUUGCAGGUAAACACAACACUAAAUGUGACACCUAUUACUCGGGUUAUUGGUUUAACUCGGGUGAGAGGUGUUACACAAAGUUAUUGGAGUCUUCAUAUAUUUUGAAUUUAAUCUCCAUAUUUUUAUUUUCAGGAAUUUAGUUAUUCUGCUUUUUGAAAUUAAAAAUUUAGGUCCAUUUGUUAAUAUUGUUAAAAUUCUUUUAUUAAAUUUUUUGGUGUGGAAUUUUGAAAUAAUAAAAAAACUCAGUUGUAUCCAUGUAACAAAAAAAUAAUAUUGUAAUGAACUUGAAUUUAAUAAAGAGAGUUUUAACGGUGUUAACACUUCUUAAAAAUUCACUUAAUCAAUUUAAUUAGAAUAAAGUAUUUAGACUAACUAAUGACAUUAUAAAAUUGAGAUAUCAAAUUAUGUCAAAAUUAAAGUAUAUGGAUUAAAUCUAAAUUUGAGAAAAAUAUAGGGAUCAAAUUAAAAUUUAACCAUUCUUCAAAUCAAAGUAGAGAGUUUGGAAUUGAAAUUUACCCAUUAUGCUCAAAAUUGAAUGUCUCUUCAAAUCAAAGCCCUAUUCUAUAAUAGACCAAACAGAUCACUGAAAUGGAGCAGUACGAACGGCCCACAUGAAAAAAAUGGAGCGUAAAUUAAUCCUUGUCGCCAUUGGUUUCCACUCCAAAUCCAAAAUACAAAAACAUGUGAAAAUUUGCGGAAUCAGACAUUUCACCAGCACAGGAUUUUGAGAAGUUUGCGUUAGAUCCAAGUGAUAACCAAAAAACCAACACCAACAAACCAUACGUACGCUACACAAAUGCACCCUCACCAAUACUAAAUAGCAAUAUCCACCCUCCUUCACGGUGCCACAUUUUAUCAACCAGAUCUCGCCAUUUCCAGGUAUUUCAAUAUCGCAAUCUUUUCUCCAUUUCCUUUUUUCAUCGUCAAUCGAAUUCGCUUUUCUGUAAUCCUUUACGGUAAUAGGAUUGGAACCUUAUUGAGAUAGGAGAAAAUUGUUUGAAAACCAAAAGCAAUUUAAGUUAUUCGAAUCUUCAAUUGACACUUGGUUUUGACACUGCAGCUGUUGGUUUCAUAUAUAUAUAUAUGACGAUAUUUAUUUUUCUAUUUUUAUUAAUUUGUGUUUGUUUCUUUGUUUGUUGUGGACGUGGUUAAUGGGGGAAGAUCCUGAUGGUGGUUGAGACUCGGUUUUGAUUUCUAAAAGGAUCAGAGUGGGGGGCAAAAUUGGAGCGGAUCGGAUGGAGAAGAAUAAGAACCGUACUGAUCUGCUCACUGCCGGACGGAAAAAGGUUUCCCUUUUAUUUUACUCUUUUCAUAUUUGAUUAGGGGUAGUUUGGCCAGUUGCCUCUUUUCUUCCCAGCAUGCUCUGGUUGUUGUUUUCAACGAUUUUUUUUUUCUUUGAGGCCUGUAGUUUUUUAAUGCCUGCUUAUCGUUUACCUACAUGGUGUUUCUUUUGUCGUUACUGAUUUCUGAUGUUCUUCAGUACCAUGUUUACUUCUUUUGUUGAAGAAUCAAAUAUGUCUAGGUAUUCUGAACCUUAAGUAGAAGAUUGAACUUUAGCUGUUUUAAUUUCCUUCACUUCACUGAAGUAAAAUUUUAAUUAUUAUUAAUUUUGUUUCCCUUAUAAGAAAUGUCUGAGCUCAUUUUUUUAGGUAAUAGGAUUGAUUAGUACUUAAUUUUAUGUCAUCUUUUGUCAGCUUCAACAAUUUCGUCAGAAAAAGGAUGGUAAAGGAAGUAGCAGUAAAGGAAAAUCUUCUAAAAAAUCUAAAAAACCUGAGCAGCAUGGAUCUGAUAGUGAUGCACCAAACCCGGUUGCCAAACAAACAGCCUUGCUGCAGGUUUCUGAAGGGGAAACCACAGCUGGUGACUCAACAGUGUCACAGUCUGCUGAGAAGAGUUCAUUGCCUACUGGGCCCGAUACUGCAGCAUUUGUUUCACCAGUAGAGUCUAUUGUGUCUGAGGAGACAGGCAACAUCGAGACUCUAGCAGCCCAUAAUGCUGGAUUACCCGCUGAGGUGGUCACACUUGUUGAUUUUUCAGUCCCAAAUGGAGAGCAAAGUACUCAGACUGUUGAUAGUAUGACGAGCACAGAAAUAAGUUCCUCAAGAAGAGAUAUCCCAGUUUUGGAGGGGGAAAUAAAGCAUUAUAAUGUGCCACAUCCUUCUGCUUCAGUUGAUACCAAAGAGGGGACAGUGGUCAACAAGGAAAUGGGGCAAAAUUCACUGCUUUCAGCAGAUGAUUUGUCUGAUAACUACUUGUCUCAAGCAAGGGGAGAUCAGAUAACAGAUGUAGGUUGUGCUCUCCUCCUCUUGAUUUUAGUUUUCUUUCCCUCUAAGUCUCUUUGUUAGGGGAUUGCAUUGGGCAAAAUUAGGAUUAGCUAUGUAUGUAUUUGAUGUAUAAUUAAGUUCUCAUUUGUUGCUGGGUAGGUGCAAUGCAGGAAACUGAUGGUUUGGGGAUGAAUCAGCUUGAUAGAGGUGGUGAAGCAAAGUUUGAAGUUGAUGGUAGGCUUACUUUGUCUGGGCACGGUGAAUGUGAUGAACCUCUUGAAGGGGCUACUCCAGGAGUAACUAGCAUGGAGGGGGCAUCCAAUGAGACAGAGGAGGCCAUCAGCAGAGAUGCUAGCAUUGUAUCUACUGGGGCAUCUAGCAGUUCCUGGGAAGAUGGAAGUUUGGCUGCUAGUUCUCAAUUGACAAAUGAACAGGCCCCAGAUGUAAUACCCUAUUCACCUGUCAAAGAAGAACAAGAAAUGUGCCCUUCAUUUUCUGAUUACGGUGAGGGCAACAGUUUAGAAGGAAAUCAACAAUACUUACCAGAGGUCUCCUUUGUGUCUGAAGAUCUAGGUCAUGAAAGAUCUCUUCAGAUGACAAGAUUGAUUUCAUCAAAUCUGAUUCUGUCUCUUGCCAGAGGUGGUACUCCAGUCAAACUCUCUCAGCUAGUAGAGGCGAUGAGAAGUCUUGAUGAAGAUGAAUAUAGGCUUUUGCUGAACUCUCACGAAUCGGUUUCCCUUGAAAUAAGUGGGACCGAUAAUCUAUCACCUUCCUACCAUCCAGAUAUAUUCGAGAAAUUAAAAGAGGAGUUGUAUCUCACAAGUUUUUCAAAAGAUAUAUUUUACUUAAAGCUUUCUGAGCAGUCAGAUCUGCAUAUGGAAUCUGAACGGCAUUGUCAUCAGCUUCUUGAUGAAAUAUCUCUUCUUCAUUCUUCCAUCAAUAAGGUUCAUGAGACGAAUGCCUGCCUUGGAGAAGAGCUAGCACAAUGUAGGUCUGAACUCCAGAUUUCUGGAAGUGGAAGGGAGGAGUUGCAGAACGAACUUAAUACUGCUUUGUUGCAAACUGAGGAAUUUUCUUCUAGAGCAAAUGAGUUGCAGAGCAGCCUGGUAAGGUCACAAGAGGAUUUAUCAAGCCUUUUUUCUGAAUUGUCUGAGUACAAGAAUCAGGUGGCCACUUUGCAGGCAGAUAAUGUGAACUUGAAUAGGACCGUUUAUUCUCUGACUGAUGAGAGAAGCACAAUUGCACAGGAAAAGGAAUCUUCUCUCCUUGAGAAUGAAAAACUGUUACUGGAGUUAGCUAGAUACAAGGACUUGGUGAUCACUUCCCAGGUGGAGAGUGAGCAGUUAAACAUGAAUCUUGCUUCGCUGACAGAGGAGAGAAAGGCACUUGUGGAUGAGAAAAUGUUGUCCCUUGAGGAAAAUGAGAAGCUACGGACAGAAUUAGCUGAUUGCAAAAGCUUGAUUUCAGCUUUACAGGUGGAACAUUCUAAUAUAAUCAAUCUUGCUAUAAUGUCAGAAGAAAGAAUAAAGCUUGAAGAAGAGAAGGAGUUGCUUGCACAAGGGAAAGAGAAAGCUGCUCUUGAUUUGGAAGAGUGUAAAGAUUUGUUGGCUUCUUUACAACUUGAAAAAUCCAAAUUGAAUGGUGAACUUGCUUUCGUUACAGAGGAGAGAAAGAAGCUUGAGGAGGACAAGGAUUAUUUCAUCCAUGAGAAUGAAAGACUUGCUUCUGAGCUCCUUGUUCUUCAAGACCAGUUAACUAGACAGAAUGGGGAACAGAUGCAACUUGAGGCUGAACUAAAAGUAUUAACAGUACACCUAGAGAAGCUAAUGGAGGAAAAUAAUUUCCUCAAUGCCAGUUUGGAUGUGCAUAAGGCCAAGUUAGUGGAAACUGAUAGUAGGGGAAACCAGAAUAUUGAAGCCGGGAGUCAAGUAAAAGGUCUGGGUGUGAGUAGGGAGGUCCUUGAAAAUGCUGCCAACUAUGAACCUUCCUGCUUCAUACCUUUGAAGCAGGAUUCUGACGAAUCUACUGUGGUAUCGGAGAAACCUGGACCUAAUGACGUUGUUGGUGGGUCAUCACUUGUGCUGCUUGAACAGGAAGUCUUUGAUGAUUCUUCUGGAUUUCUAGUCCUGAAGGGACACUUGAAGGAGGCUGAGAGAAUAUUGCAAAACCUUGAAAUGACAAUUGAACAGAUGCACUCUCAUUCAGUCUCAUUACAGCACUCCAUCAGUAAAUCAGCUGCACCAGGAGUAUCAAAUCUAACUAAAGCCUCUGAACCACAGGUGCAUCAUGAUGAACCUGAGGUUGAGAGGAGAGAUUUGGCUGAAUAUCAGUUACUGGGAGACCUGUUUAAUUCAACUAAAGAGGUAACAGAAAAUUUAAGAGCUCUGCUUAAGCUCUUGGGUCAAGAUGCUGAUGAUGCCAGUUUUCUUUAUAGAGGAGAGAGGGAUUGUAGAAAAUCUGCUAAUUUCACAUUUCAAGAGCACAGGGUUCUACAUGAAACUUUGAAGGAAUACAGCGACAUUCUCCACGCAUCCAACAUUGAACUGGGGGUUCUGUAUGAAGCUUCUAAGCAACAUGCUUAUGGCAUUGAAGCUAAGUACAAUGAACUUAAGGUUCUCCAUGAAGCUCUAAAGCAGCAAGAAAGUAGCCUCAGUUCGGAAAAUGCUGAGCUUGGCAAGAAGUUGAGUGAGUAUCAGUUGAAACUUACUGAAAUGCAGAGUCAAUUCUCUGAUUUAAAGCAAAGGUCAGAUGAUACUACUUCUGCUUUAAAUCAACAGUUCAAAAAUUCGCAGAAGGAAGCAGCUGAGAGGGCUUUGAUGCCUGAACUAGAAUUGAGAUCUAUGGUUACUCAGAUUGUGGAGACAGUCAGGAGACUUGAUUUGUCUGUUGGGCAAGUUUCCAACUUCAGCUUCUCAGAUAACAGCAGUGAUAUCUCAGAUCUGAAUAGCCAGCUUGCUAUUUCUGUUGAUUCUGCCAUUAACAAUAUCCGAGAGCUACAAGAGCAACUAGAAAUUGCUCAUGCAGGUCAUGAUGCAAUAUUGAAUUCAUACAAAGAAGUAGAUGAGAAGUAUAAUGAUUUGCAUAGGAAUAAUGAAUUCAUGGUAGGGAUGCUACAUGAAUUGUAUAAUGAUCUGAAGAAACUUGUGAUUGAUUCAUGCGUUUUGGUGGGUGAGCCUGAAAUGAAUACGCAAGUUGAGAAGCUGCCUGAUCCCUUAGACUACAGCAAGUAUAAGAUCCUCAUUGAACAACUGGGGAACGUUUUGGGUGAAAGGCUCCAGCUCCAGUCUGUUAAUGACCAGCAGAAUUUAGAAAUGAUGAAUAGGACAAGAGACGUUGUGGAAAUGAGGAGAGAAUGUCUUCAUUCUAAUGCCAUUCAAAAGCUUAUUGAACAGGUUGAGAAUGUUGUAAAACUGGACGACUCUGAGACUGACUCAGAUAGAACUCCUGGUUCCCACCUUGAAUUGUUAGUUUGUUUGCUUGUCAAGAAAUACAAAGACAUUGAUCAACAGGUGAGUAAUCGUGGAGAGGAUCUUGGAUCUAAGAUGUUUGGGUUGACAGAAGUAGAGGAAAAGAUACAUCAGUUAGAUGCCUUGAGACUUCAGCAGGAAUUUGAAAUCCUCACUCUGAAAGAAAGUUUGCGCCAGAAAGAAGAAGCCCUUCAGACUGCACAUUCUGAGUUACUGAAAAAAGUAAGUGAAAUUGAACAGUCAGAACAGCGGGUAUCUUCUGUUAGGGAGAAGCUUAGCAUUGCUGUGGCAAAGGGGAAAGGUUUGGUGGUGCAGCGUGAUGGUCUUAAGCAGUCACUUGCAGAGACAUCUGCUGAACUAGAGAGACUCUCACAGGAAUUACAGGUAAAAGAUGCCCAGCUUCAGGAGUUAGAAAUAAAACUGAAGACUUACUCGGAGGCAGGUGAGCGUGUGGAAGCUUUGGAAUCUGAACUUUCAUACAUACGCAAUUCAGCUACUGCAUUAAGAGAAUCAUUUCUUCUCAAAGACUCUGUACUGCAGAGAAUUGAAGAGAUUUUAGAAGACUUAGACCUGCCUGAGCAUUUCCAUUCUAGAGAUAUCAUUGAAAAGGUUGAUUGGUUAGCAAGGUCCACCACUGAUAAUUCUUUGCCUGCCCCAGAUUGGGAGCAGAAAAGUUCUGUUGGAGGCUCCUACUCUGAUGCGGGUUUUGUCACUGUUGAUACCUGGAAAGAAGAUGCACAACCAACCUUAACUUCAGGGGAUGACUGGAGAAGAAAAUAUGAGGACCUUGAGAGCAAGUUUUAUGGGUUGGCAGAACAAAAUGAAAUGCUUGAACAGUCCUUGAUGGAAAGAAACCACUUGGUGCAAAGAUGGGAGGAACUUUUGGGCAGAAUUGAUAUGCCUUCACAGAUGCGGUCCAUGGAACCCGAGGAAAAGAUUGAAUGGCUAGGUGGGGCACUUUCAGAGGCUAAUCAUGAUAAAAAUUCUUUGCAGAAGAAGAUUGAUGACCUUCAAAAUUAUUUUGGGUCAGUAGCUGCUGAUUUGGAAGAGUCUGAAAAGAGAAUAUCAGAUCUUGACUCAGACCUUCAAUCAGUUGCCCUUGAGAGGGAGCACCUUUCUGAAAGAUUGGAUGCUUUGACUUCUGAUAAUCAUAACCUUGCAGCAAAGGCAACUCAAUUUGAAGUUGAGAAUGAAAAACUUCAGAUUAAAGUUAGUGGUUUGAAGGAAGAAUUGGAUAAGAGGAUUGAGGAAGAGGAGGAGAAUCUUCUCAAGAUGGAGGGUGAAAUAAGGAGAUUGCAGUACUUGGUUUGUGAUGUGUUACAGGAUCCUGAAGCAAAAGAUUUGGGUUCUGGUGGCAGUAGUACUGCAUCAUUAGAAGGAUUACUGAAGAAGCUUAUAGAGAAUUACACUAAACUCAAGUCUGUGAAUCCUGAACCUGUGGAUAUUGAAAUCGACCAGACUAAGCUAUGUGAUCCAACCCUUGAUCAAGCUGGAAGCAGAGAUGCUCUAACUAGCCAGGAGGAUGUAGCUUCUUUGAAAAAAGAACUGGAGGAAGUGCAGCAUGACUUGAUGCAAGCGAAGGAGGAAAGAGAUGAAUACUUCGGAAAGCAUCAAUCUUUGCUUCAUGAAGUUCAAGCACUUGAAAGGAAAGGAGAGGAGUUGCAAGGGCUACUUAAUCAAGAAGAGCAGAAGUCAGCUUCUGUGAGAGAAAAGUUAAAUGUUGCUGUUAGAAAAGGGAAAUCUUUGGUGCAACAACGGGAUGGUCUGAAGAAAACAAUUGAAGAGAUGAAUGCUGAGCUGGAGCGCUUGAAAUCUGAGCUUAGCAACCAGGAAAAUGCUCUGGCUGAUUAUGAACUAAAGAUGAGGGACUUCUCCACUUACCCCAAAAAAGUAGAAGCCUUAGAAGCUGACAAUUUGUUCUUGAGGAAUCAUUUGACAGAAACCGAACGCAUGUUGGAGGAGAAAAGACAUACUUUAAAUGGGAUAUUAAAUGCAAUAGCUGACAUUGAUGCUGGUGUUGAAAUUGAUACCUUUGAUCCAGUGGAGAAGUUGGGACAAAUUGGGAAAGUGUGCCAUGAUUUGCUUGCCUCUGUGUCAUCUUCUAAACAAGAGUCGCAGAAGUCCAAGAGAGCUGCAGAGCUACUGCUUGCAGAGUUGAAUGAAGUUCAAGAGAGAAACGAUGGUCUUCAGGAAGAUCUAGCCAAAAUUUCGGUUGAGCUUACAGAAGUCACGAAGGAUAGGGAGGUGGCAGAGGCUGCAAAACUUGAAGUUCUUUCACGGCUCGAAGAGUUAUCUACAGUUCACUCUGAAGGAAAAAGAAAACAGUAUUCUGAAUUAAUGAUGCUACAGUCCUGUGUGAAUGAAGUCACAAAGGGCUUCAAUGAUAUUCAAAAUCUACUUUACAGUGCUUUUAUGAAGGACUUGGAAUUUUUGCAAAAUUUGGAGGUUAACAUUAAGUUGUGCUUGGAAGGGGAUGAUGCCCAAGAUGUGGCUGGCUUGCCAUACAGUAUCUCCAGUGAUUUAGAGGACAAGGUAAUGUUUUUCAUGGCCUGUCUUUUGUUUGUGCAUUGGCUGCUUUUUUUUCUUUUUUUGGUAAAUCUAGUGGUUUGCCUUUCAUGUUUUCUUUUGUAUUUUCCUUCUGCAACCAGUUGAUAAUUGUGCUUGCUGUGUUUCCACCAUAAAUAUAUUUUAUUUCUUUGAGUUGCAUGCAAGUCAUCUAUAUUGAGCAAAAACUUUUGAUUGGCCAAAAGAAAAAACCCCGAAGACCUCAUCUGUUUCUUGGGGUAUUCUCUACGAAUGGAUUGUUAUUCUAAUUGUUUCUUGGUUUCCUCUUCAGGUGAACUUUCAAUCCACAGAUACUUCAUCAAUUGCCAACAUACAGGAACCUGUGGAUGACAAUGCUAUAGUUGAAGUUUGCAGUUCAAUCUGGCAUCACCUGCAGGAUUUGACAACUGAAAUUACUGCACUCAAAGAAAAGUUCAUUGGGUGCUCAAAAUCAUUGCAUGAACAAGGUUACAGUCUAUGGAACUUAGUGGGAAUCUUGCAUAGAGAGAGAAAUUCUCAAAAAGAAUCUUUUGAAGAUAUGAGGAGGAAUAUUUUGCAUUUAGAAUCAAUUGGGAAAGAGAAAGACAUGGAGUUAGUUGUCUUGAGAAGGAAUUUUGCCUUGCUUUAUGAAGCUUGUGCUAAUUUGGUCUUGGAAAUUGAAAAUGGAAAAGCCGAGCUGUUAGGAAAUAGUUCAACUACUGCAGAUCUGGAAUUAGCUGGAGCACUUGCACUUGGCGGACAAAACAGAGUUUUGUCCGAGGAACAAAUCAAGACUAUGGCUGAUAAACUUUUAUCAACAAUGAAAGAUUUUUUGAGCAUGAAAUAUCAAAUUGCUGAAGGAAGCCAAAGGGAGAUGAAAAUUACUGUAGAAAAUUUACGGAAAGAUCUUCAGGAGAAGGACAUCCAAAAAGAUCAGAUAUUCGCAGAGCUUGUUGGUCAAAUUAAGUUAGCUGAAGCUGCUGCCAUGAAUUACUCACGAGAUCUUCAAUCGUCAAAAACACUGGUGCAUGAUUUGGAAAAAGAACUGGAAGUGGUGAAGGAAGAAAAUAAGUCAUUGCAGCAGAGAGUAAAAGAACUGCAGGAUGUGCAUGCCAACUCAGUGGAAUUGCAUGAUAGGGUCAAAUCACUGACAGAUGUGUUAUCAUCCAAAGACCAAGGUAUGUGUAUUGGUUGAAUCCUACUUUGUUUUACAUAUAGUUGUGUUUGUGUGUAUUAGAGUUGGGAUCCUUAUUUGUGAAUGCUAUUUGCUGACAGAAAUCGAGGCCCUUAUGCAAGCACUUGAUGAGGAGGAGGUCCAAAUGGAAGAGUUGACAAAAAAGAACGAGGAACUAGAAAAAGUCCUGCAACAGAAGAACAUAGAUUUAGAGAACCUUGAAGCUUCUCAUGGGAAGGUUGUGAAAAAGCUUUCCAUCACUGUGAGCAAGUUUGAUGAGCUUCGUGAUCUAUCACAAAGUCUUCUUAUCAAGAUUGAACAGCUUCAAUCAGAACUACAAGAUCGGGAUGCUGAGAUUUCAUUCUUAAGACAAGGGGUCACCAGAUGCACCAAUGAUCUUCUUGCUGCAUCACAAAUGAACUCUAAAAGAGAAUCAAAUGAGAUACAUGAGUUUUUGACUUGGUUUGAGGGAAUUGUUUCUUGUGUUGGGUUACCCCAUCUGCAUUUUGAUAUGAAGGACAUUCAGGUGCCUGAAUACAAGGAAAUAAUACAGAAAAAGCUUAGCUCUAUUACAUCUGAACUUGAGGACCUACGUGUGGCUGCACAAAGUAAGGAUGAAUCGUUGCAAGCAGAACGGACUAAAGUGGAGGAGCUAACACGUAUGGAAGAAACCCUCAAGAAGACUUUGCAAGAGAAAGAAUCCCUAUUAAAUUUGCUUGAAGGUGCAGGAGAUGUGGAUCAUGCAGCUAGUGCAAACUCUGAAAUUGUGCAAGUUGAACCUGUGGUAAGUUAUUUUAUGUGUUUGCAAUUCGCUUUAACAGCAGAUGGGGCAUUAGGACCUCCAACAAAGCCAGUGAGAGGCAAAACUCUGAUGCAAGAAUACAACUUCUUUUUCCUUAUUUCAUUCUAUAAGGGAGAAGUCUUGGCUUGGUGUACUAGACAUUCAUAGAUGCAUGAAUAGAACUAAAGAAGCUGAAUCUUUAUUGCAGAUAUACUGGCAGUUCAUCCAUAUAAUAAUAUAUUUUGCUUAUUAAGUGGCAGUUUGAUAAUUUCAUCUCAUCUGCGCACAAGAAUGUGUUCUAGCUUUUGCAUUGUCACUUGCAAAAAAAUACUGAUAUUGAGUAAUCUAUUUUGCUAAACAUUUCUGUAGAUAAACCAGUGGGCUGUACCAGGGAACUCCACGGCUUCCCAAGUUCGUAGUUUGCGUAAAGUCAAUAAUGAUCAAGUUGCUAUUCAUAUAGAUUCAGAUGAUGUUAGUAAUAGUAGGUUAGAAGAUGAAGAUGAAGAUAAAGGUACUCUUUACUGCUUUUCUGUUCACAUCUUUUUCUGCUUCAAGUGAAGAGAUAACUUUUUAUUUAGAAGCAUACAUCCUUUAGUUCUUACAUUUUAAUUUCAAUGUUUCUGCAGUUCAUGGUUUCAAAUCACUUACCACAUCAAGAAUUGUUCCAAGGUUUACAAGACCAGUAUCUGACAUGAUAGAUGGCUUAUGGCAAGUGUUAUUUUUCUGUUUUUGUUGAUUUGAAGCACAAAACAAAGUAACCGAGCUGAGAUUUAUUUAUUCAUUUACGCACCAAAACUAGCCCCUUUUAUGUAACCAUGUUGUGUUUAUGUAAUCUGCCAGGGUUUCUUGUGAUCGGGCACUCAUGCGACAACCUGCCUUACGGCUUGCCAUUAUGAUCUAUUGGGCUAUAUUGCAUUCACUGUUAGCAGCUUUUGUAUUUUGACAAGCCAAACCUGGUAGCGGCCAUUUCUCUGAUGGUUAUCUACUCGUUUGUGUCGAAAGGAGUGGCAACCAUGACUGCGUACUUGGUCCAUAGUCAUUUUAUUAUUAUCAUUAUUCUUUUAUUUUUCCUUUGUAAAACAUGGUCCAUUAAUUGAUUAUUUAGAUAAACCAGGCAACUUUGAUUUGCCCUUUUUAUUUGUAUGCAUCUCAGGUUGCUCGGUUAUGUCGUUGAAUAAGAAAAAUCUUUUUGUUACUAUUAAGGAUUGUUUACUUUGAACCUAACAAAGGUGAUAUGAUGCUUACCCUUGUUAUAAAAUGAUAUGAAGAGAAAUGGCAUUAUGCUGCGUCAUGAUUUUGUUCUGUUUUAGCUAUUUUGAUCCAAAUCUGAAAAUCAUAUCUAAUCAACUUAAAUUCAAAUUAAAAUGCGUAAUACGAAAUGAAUCCAACAAAAUUUGAAAUUAAAAUUAGUAUUAUUUUCCUCGAAGCAUUCUAACCUAAAUUCUCGUUUCAAAUGGAAUAUUGGGUAGGACUUGGCCAAUCGCCUCUCGUGUGAUUCAAUUUAAUUUUAAAAUAAAAUUCCCUUUUUGUUUAAAUUAUUCAAAGUCACCUAUCUCUAACCUUAUUAAGAUUAUAAAAUUUUGUUUAAUUAAUAAUUCCCAAGAAACAUAAGCCCCUCCCAAAUAUAUCAUCCAAUCAAGUCUCUUCGAAAUAAUUAACAAAAUUCUGUAUAAAAAAUUUAUUCAGUUACAGAGAGCAUUAGAAUAUAAAAAAAAGUUUUUUUUUUUAACAUCCCGUAAAGCUGUAGACAAUCAUAGCCAACUUUCUCCUUUGCCAUGCUUGCCCUUUACUUUAUUUUUUGCCCUUUCAUUUCUUCAUUUUCCACUCUUCUUCUUCCUCCAGAAAAAAAUUACAUCAGCUUUCAACAGAUUCCUCUCUAUCUUUUGAGACUUUCGCUGUGUUAAACAAGGAAAAGAUUUCUUUACGAUUUCCGGAAAUCUUUUCUUUGCCAAACCAUUUUCCCCUCUCUCUGUGUUCAUCAAAAAGGGAAAAAAAAAAUAAGAAUGGGGGCAGCGAAAGUCUCAAAUUCCAGCUCCGAGGAUCAAAAUGUGAGUAACUACAAUGAAACUGAUGUGAUUUUGAAUGUUUAUGAUCUCACUCCUCUCAAUAAUUACUCUUAUUGGGUUGGUUUCGGGAUUUUCCACUCCGGUAUUGAAGGUUCGUUCCCUCUUUUCUUUAAUCCUUUCAUAUUUUUUUUGGUAUGGAAUUUCUUUAAAUCGUAUCUUUUUAAGAUGUGGGUAUUGGUUAGUUUAGCUCCUUAUUGCUUGAAAAUGGAGAAUUUGGUUUCUCUUCAUAGAAAAUAGAUAUGGGUUUGCUGAAUUAUUUUAAAGGGUUUUUUUAUAUGUUAUUAUCUCCAAUAUGUAGCUUAGGAACAAAUAUUUAUUUGGGUUUUUCGGAAUAUAAUACUUUUAUGGAGAUCUUUUGAAGCUUACUUGAAUCUUUGGAUUAACAAAUGAAUUCAUAUCCAGUUUUCUAUUACUUUUUGUUGGGUGUAUUUGCAACAUUGGUCACACUUAAUAUGAGCUGGAAAAAAAAGGCAAUUUGGGGUGGAAAAUUUUCAAAUUUGUAUGUUAAAAAUUGUUAAUCAGAGUUUAAUAUGUUAUAUGAAUUUAAUAACAUCUUUGCCUUUCGGUCCUAAAAUUUUUCAGAUUAAAUGAAUAUAUAUUGUGGUUAAGGACUUUAAGUUCUAUAAGUUUGAACUUAAGAUUAGGCUGUUCUUGUUUUGGUGUUAAUAGCAUGCUUGAAAUAAGACAGCUUAUUGCUAAAUUCAGCAUGUCCAUUUAGUCGUUUGAAUUCGGAAUUAAGCUGUUUUGACUAAAAACGAGAGAUGGAAAACAUUUUUUUUUUUGGGUAUAUGACAUCUAUUUUAGUUCAUAUGUUGAUUAUCUUUUUUAAUCUAGGAAACUGAAGUAUCUAUCUAUCUCAAUAUUUAUGAACAGUUCAUGGGAAAGAGUAUGGGUUUGGGGCCCAUGAUUUUCCGGUUAGUGGAGUUUUUGAAGUGGAACCAAAGAGCUGCCCUGGUUUUAUCUAUCGAUCUUCCAUCUUGUUGGGGCGCAUAAACAUGCCUUAUUCUGAAUUCAGAGAAUUUAUCGAGAAUGUAGCUUCCGAGUAUCAUGGAGAUACCUACCACCUAAUCUCCAAGAACUGUAAUCAUUUUACAGAUGACAUGGCACAGAGAUUGAUAGGCAGACAUAUCCCUGGGUGGGUGAACCGGAUGGCUCGAC
rnacentral:lncRNA from 1 species